rnacentral:rRNA from 1 species
GACGAACGCUGGCGGCGUGCCUAAUACAUGCAAGUUGAGCGCUGAAGGUCGGUUCUUGUACCAACUGGAUGAGCAGCGCACGGGUGAGUAACGCGUGGGGAAUCUGCCUUUGAGCGGGGGACCACAUUUGGAAACGAAUGCUAAUACCGCAUAAAAACUUUAAACACAAGUUGUAAGUUUGAAAGAUGCAAUUGCAUCACUCAAAGAUGAUCCCGCGUUGUAUUAGCUAGUUGGUGAGGUAAAGGCGCACUAAGGCGAUGAUACAUAGCCGACCUGAGCGGGUGGUCGGCCACACUGGGAGUGUGACACGGCCCAAACUGCUACGGGAGCCAGCAGUACGGAAUCGGCAGCCAUGGACGAAAGUCUGACCGCGCAACGCGGCGUGAGUGAAGAGCAACUUCGGGUCGUAGAUCUCUGUCGGUGGAGAAUAACGCGGGUGCGAGUGGAACGCUGCGCGAGUGACGGUAAUUGCUAAGAAAGGAACGGCUAACUACGUG